AGAUAAGAAUGGAUCAAUUCACAUUCUUCUACUGAAAGACCCUCGAGGGGAGACCCUCACUCAGACACUCAAGUCCCGGGACAGCCGCGUACCCAAGAAGACACUGAGACCA
rnacentral:pre_miRNA from 7 species